rnacentral:rRNA from 1 species
UACGUAGGGUGCAAGCGUUGUCCGGAAUUAUUGGGCGUAAAGGGCUCGUAGGCGGUUUGUCGCGUCGGGAGUGAAAUCCACUGGCUUAACUGGUGGCUUGCUUUCGAUACGGGCAGACUGGAGGUAUGCAGGGGAGAACGGAAUUCCUGGUGUAGCGGUGAAAUGCGCAGAUAUCAGGAGGAACACCGGUGGCGAAGGCGGAUCUCUGGGCCUUGCCUGACGCUGAGGCGCGAAAGCUAGGGGAGCGAACAGG